rnacentral:rRNA from 1 species
AGAGUUUGAUCAUGGCUCAGAUUGAACGCUGGCGGCAUGCCUUACACAUGCAAGUCGAACGGCAGCAUGAUCUAGCUUGCUAGAUUGAUGGCGAGUGGCGAACGGGUGAGUAAUACAUCGGAACGUGCCCUGUAGUGGGGGAUAACUAGUCGAAAGAUUAGCUAAUACCGCAUACGACCUGAGGGUGAAAGUGGGGGACCGCAAGGCCUCAUGCUAUAGGAGCGGCCGAUGUCUGAUUAGCUAGUUGGUGGGGUAAAGGCCCACCAAGGCGACGAUCAGUAGCUGGUCUGAGAGGACGAUCAGCCACACUGGGACUGAGACACGGCCCAGACUCCUACGGGAGGCAGCAGUGGGGAAUUUUGGACAAUGGGGGCAACCCUGAUCCAGCAAUGCCGCGUGUGUGAAGAAGGCCUUCGGGUUGUAAAGCACUUUUGUCCGGAAAGAGAUCGCACUUACUAAUAUUAGGUGUGGAUGACGGUACCGGAAGAAUAAGGACCGGCUAACUACGUGCCAGCAGCCGCGGUAAUACGUAGGGUCCAAGCGUUAAUCGGAAUUACUGGGCGUAAAGCGUGCGCAGGCGGUUGUGCAAGACCGAUGUGAAAUCCCCGGGCUUAACCUGGGAAUUGCAUUGGUGACUGCACGGCUAGAGUGUGUCAGAGGGGGGUAGAAUUCCACGUGUAGCAGUGAAAUGCGUAGAGAUGUGGAGGAAUACCGAUGGCGAAGGCAGCCCCCUGGGAUAACACUGACGCUCAUGCACGAAAGCGUGGGGAGCAAACAGGAUUAGAUACCCUGGUAGUCCACGCCCUAAACGAUGUCAACUAGUUGUUGGGGAUUCAUUUCCUUAGUAACGUAGCUAACGCGUGAAGUUGACCGCCUGGGGAGUACGGUCGCAAGAUUAAAACUCAAAGGAAUUGACGGGGACCCGCACAAGCGGUGGAUGAUGUGGAUUAAUUCGAUGCAACGCGAAAAACCUUACCUACCCUUGACAUGCCACUAACGAAGCAGAGAUGCAUUAGGUGCUCGAAAGAGAAAGUGGACACAGGUGCUGCAUGGCUGUCGUCAGCUCGUGUCGUGAGAUGUUGGGUUAAGUCCCGCAACGAGCGCAACCCUUGUCUCUAGUUGCUACGAAAGGGCACUCUAGAGAGACUGCCGGUGACAAACCGGAGGAAGGUGGGGAUGACGUCAAGUCCUCGUGGCCCUUAUGGGUAGGGCUUCACACGUCAUACAAUGGUGCAUACAGAGGGUUGCCAAGCCGCGAGGUGGAGCUAAUCCCAGAAAAUGCAUCGUAGUCCGGAUCGUAGUCUGCAACUCGACUACGUGAAGCUGGAAUCGCUAGUAAUCGCGGAUCAGCAUGCCGCGGUGA